UUCUUUUCUUGGUUAAAAUAUAAAAGAAAAGCAACCAAACAAUGUAAAAGAUUACCCAAAUUUAGACGUACCAAUCUCCUGUUGCUCUAUUACUACUAGUGGCCGGCAUCUCCUUUGAAGCAGGUAGCAGAACAUAAUCUGGUAGCUAGCUAGAGCUCUCCUGCAAACCUGAUUUUGAUCUCAUAAGCUUCAACAGCAGAUCUUUAAAGACGAGACAAAAGGCUGCUUCUAGCUAGAGAUAUGUGAAUGUUAAUCUGCACAUGCUUUAUGAGAUCUACGGCCCACCAUAAGUUUGAAGAUAUAGAGAGGAGAGAUGGGAUCGACACGCCUUGGAAAUCUCAAAGUUGCUGUCAUCUUCCACAGUUUCUUUCUUUCUUUCUUUCUUUCUUUCUUUCUUUCUCUAGUUUUCUACUACCAGCUCUUAAAAAUAGUCCCCUCGCAGUCUGCCAAUAAUAUGAUUAUUUAAGGAUUAAAUUCUAAACACUUGUCUCAAAUUUUCAAAAUGCUUUGAUUAAUUAUAAGGGUUAAUUAAUCUUGAUUUAAACGCUUGCUUUAA